rnacentral:rRNA from 1 species
AUAGUUUGAUCCUGGUUCAAAGCGAACCGCUGGCGGCUAUGUUUAACACUUGCCCGUCCAGCGAGAAAAUGGAUUCGGCCACUGAGUACAGCGGCGGACGGGUGAGUAAUACAUGGAUAAUCUGCCUUUAGGACUGGGACAACCCUGGGAAACUAGGGCUAUUACCGGAUAAGACCACUAAAUCUGCGGAUUCAGUGGUAAAAGGUGGCUUUCGGGAUAUCACCUAGAGAUGAGUCCAUGUCCCAUCAGGGUGUUGGUGAGGUAACUGCCCACCAAGCCUAAUGACGGGUAGCCGGCCUUAGCGGGCGAGCGGAUACACAGUGACCGACACACUCCCCCGACUCCUACGGGAGGCAGCAGUGGGCAAUAUUGGACAAUGGGCGCAAGCCUGAUCCACAAGUACCGCGUGAGGGAUGAAGGCCCUACGUUCCCAAACCUCUAUCAAUUGGAACGAUGGGUUUGCAGGUUAAUACCCUGCUAACUUGACGGUACCUUCAAAGGAAGCCCUGGCUAACUCCGUGCCACCAGCCGCGGUAAUACGGAUGGGGCAAGCGUUGCUCGAAUUUACUGGGCGUUAAGGGUGCGCACGUCGCUUUCUAAGUUAAAUGUGAAAGCUAAGGCCUCAACCCUGGAGACUGCAUAUAAUACUGCCGAUCUUGAAUACAGGAAAGGGUGCCCAGCAUUCCCGGUGUAACGGUU